rnacentral:rRNA from 1 species
GAAGUAGGCGGCCUGAUUAGUGGGACGUGAAAUCCUCCGGCUCAACCGGAGACCUGCGUUCCAAACUGUCAGGCUUGAGUCCGGGAGGGGAGACGGGAAUUCCUGGUGUAGCGGUGAAAUGCGCAGAUAUCAGGAAGAACACCGGUGGCGAAGGCGCGUCUCUGGACCGGUACUGACGCUAAACUCCGAAAGCGUGGGUAGCAAACA